UACGUAGGGUGCAAGCGUUGUCCGGAAUUAUUGGGCGUAAAGAGCUCGUAGGCGGUCUGUCGCGUCGGCUGUGAAAACCCGGAGCUCAACUCCGGGCCUGCAGUCGAUACGGGCAGACUGGAGUUCGGCAGGGGAGACUGGAAUUCCUGGUGUAGCGGUGAAAUGCGCAGAUAUCAGGAGGAACACCGGUGGCGAAGGCGGGUCUCUGGGCCGGAUACUGACGCUGAGGAGCGAAAGCGUGGGGAGCAAACAGG
rnacentral:rRNA from 1 species